UACAGAGACUGCAAGCGUUACUCGGAUUCACUGGGCGUAAAGGGAGCGCAGGCGGAAUCGUGUGUCGGAUGUGAAACCCGGGGGCUCAACUCCCGGACUGCGUCUGAAACUGCGAUUCUAGGGACUCGGAGGGGCCAGUGGAAUUCUUGGUGGAGCAGUGAAAUGCGUAGAUAUCAAGAGGAACACCAACGGCGAAGGCA
rnacentral:rRNA from 1 species